rnacentral:rRNA from 1 species
UACGGGGGGGGCAAGCGUUGUUCGGAAUUACUGGGCGUAAAGAGCGCGCAGGCGGUCGGAUCAGUCGAAUGUGAAAGCCCCCGGCUCAACUGGGGAGGGUCAUUCGAUACUGUCCGACUCGAAGGCAGGAGAGGGAAGCGGAAUUCCCGGUGUAGUGGUGAAAUGCGUAGAUAUCUGGAGGAACACCGGUGGCGAAGGCGGCAUCCUGGACCAACACUGACACUGAGGAGCGAAAGCCAGGGGAGCAAACGGG